UUAUUGAAAGAAUUUUUUACCUCGUUAUAUUUGGAGGCAGAGGUAGUGAAGCAGACCCGUGAGACUUUAGGCGAGGAAAUGGGGAAGAGAGAAGGGGGCUGGGGGAAGAAGGCUUUUGCGAGAUUGAGCAUAGCGUUUCUGGUUAUAUGGUGCCAAGAAGAGAAGGUGGCUGGGUUUGUUUGAAGUACACGAUGGGGGUAGUUCAUGCCACGUCUAGGAUACGUUGAAUAUGUUAUUUAACCUCGUCGGUAGAUAAUGGAUGGUUUACCAGGCAACACAUGUUCCCUUGAGAGGUUUUUUUUUUUUUUAAUGAAAAUGAUCGCAGAUAUGUUUUCCAUAGUUAUCAAAUCCAAAGUAAAUUGGAAAAUCCACUAGAUAAAUCGUCGGUUUGGAGUCUUGGUUGGAUUGCUGGUCUACAAAUUGAACAAUUAAAACUUGAUUGGUCCAAGUAAAAUACACUAAUGUGUAUGUUUGGCUUUGGUUUAGAGGUUA